UUUUUUUUUUUUUUUUUUUUUUGGCCUUCCCCAUGGCAUGGGAAAGUUCCCAGGCCAGGGAUCAAACUCAUGCCACAGCUGUAACCAGAGCCACAGCAAUGACAACACCAGAUUCUUAACCCACUAUGCCACCAGGGAACUCCACAGGAUUUGAUUCCUAAGGGCAUUCAGUUGGCUGGGAAGAAACCUAUCAACUGGAAUAGGGCUCAGGGUGGUAUCCAGGGGCGGGAGGAAAACCCCUCGGCCUUCCCGUGUACACAAAUGUGAACCUGGGGGCAGUGGAAGGGAGGGCCACUUUAAGCUCCAUUUCACUUCCCAGAGCACCCAGACAACAGGAGAAAGUGACAGAAGUUGGAGGGAGGGCCCGCCGUGCCAGAGGUGGGGUCUGCAUUUUGGAUGUUAGGGAUCUGGAGGUGGAUGCCAGGGAGGAUAGAUGAAGAGAAAGAACUGUCAGUGUUCUGGCUUCAGGGAUUCAGGAUCAACCAACUUCCAGUGAUGAUGCACCCCCAACCCAGUGACAUGGACGAACUGCGCUGGGUUUCAAAGACCAUGCCCACAGUGGAGAGAAGGGCUCCAAGCCAAUCAGCAUCCAUACCGCCUGCAGGAGGGCCCCUGGACAGGGGUGCCCCAAUGGUACUGGAAGGGAGCUAAGGGACACAGUGUCCUGGCUCAUGCUCACUGGUCAUACACGUGAAAGAAGCAGAGAACCUGGAGGAGCCUCGGCUGAACCUGACUGUGGGGGGUAAAAAGGCUAACUCUCUGGAGUUCCUGCUGCGGUGCAAUUGGAUCGGUGAUGUCUCUGCAGCGGCAGGAUGCAGGUUCAAUCCCCAGCCAGGCACACUGCUGCCACAGCUGUGGCUUAGGUCCCAAGUGUGGCACAGAUCUGAUCUCUGGCCUGAGAACUCUAUGGAGUAUGCUCUAUGGCCAUGCAGCCAAAAAAGGAGGAGAAAAACCAAAAAAGGUUGACUUUCUUUUUUUCCUUAGAGCCACACCACAGCAUAUGGAGGUUCCCAGGCUAGGGGUCGAAUCGGAGCUACAGCUGCUGGCCAACACCACAGCCACAGCCACGCCAGAUCUGAGCUGCAUCUGCGCCCUACACCACAGGUCAUGGCAACACCGGAUUCUUAACCCACUGAGCGAGGAGGCCAGGGAUCGAACCCACAACUUCAUGGUUCCUAGUUGGAUUCAUUUCCACUGUGCCGUGACAGGAACUCCAAAAAAAAGGUUGACUUUCUUUUUUUUUUUUUUUUGUCUUUUUUUUUGUUGUUGUUGUUGUUGUUGCUAUUUCUUGGGCCGCUCCUGCGGCAUAUGGAGGUUCCCAGGCUAGGGGUUGAAUCGGAGCUGUAGCCACCGGCCUACGCCAGAGCCACAGCAACGCGGGAUCCGAGCCGCGUCUGCAACCUACACCACAGCUCACGGCAACGCCAGAUCGUUCGUUAACCCACUGAGCAAGGGCAGGGACCGAACCCGCAACCUCAUGAUUCCUAGUCGGAUUCGUUAACCACUGCGCCACGACGGGAACUCCCCAAGGUUGACUUUCUAGUGGACACAGUGUCCACCUACUCAGCCUUGAACACCGACAAAGCAAAAAGACGAAGGAUAACUCUAAGAUAAAGCGAGCAGAAGGGAGGCCGCAGGGAUAUAACUUUAUAGAGCCCCUGGAGUAGGAUGCAGAAGGUAGAAUGCUGUCUCACUCUUACACGUACCAGAACGCCGCUCAGCUCCCCUCAAAGGAAAAGAUGCACUAUACAAACUGGGAGCUACAAUUCACCUCAGAGACCAACGCCUUACCAUCGCAACACCCAAAGCUCCCUUCCAUUUUGCAGCCCAAGUGCGACUGCCCUCUGCCAAGAAUAACAGCCUGAUUGACCCUGAGGGUCCCCAGUAGGGACCCGGGACACCAUGGGCAGAGUCAGAAGGGCACCGCCCCUCGUAGUCAGGCUGUGACCCAGUCACAAUCACCCAAAUAAAAACACAAUACCUCUUAAGCAAAGAAGCCUUAGCAACACAAAGCCUCCUCAAGCAAGAGCUCCUUAGACCCCGCUGGCCCCCUUGCAACACUCCUCUUCUGCUGGUAAAGGAGCCAAAUGGGAAGCUCAGGACCUCUGGGCUGUAAAUGAAGCUACAGAGGAGAUUCACACUGUGGUGCCCAACACAUCACCGCUCUACCUACGCCCUGAGAGGACCUGGUACUCCGGGUUAGAGGCCCUCUUGCGUGUGCCCCUAGCUCCAGAAUCUCAAUACAUUUUUGCGCUUGGGUGGCAGAAACCCUGACAGCAUGGGAAAAUAACAAUUGUGCUGAAUGUUUCUGUAUCUCCAAGGAUUUAAAACCUCCCUAUGGUUUUUUUUUUUUUUAUAUUUUUUAGGGCCGCACCCACAGCAAGCACAUGGAGGUUCCCAGGCUAGGGGUCUAAUCCGAGCUAUAGCUGCCAGGCUACACCACAGCCACAGCAACGCCAGAUCCGAGCUGCAUCCUCGAACUAUACCACAGCUCACGGCAACACUGGAUCCUCAACCCACUGAGCGAGGCCAGGGAGUGAACCCACAUCCAGAUACUCGUCGGGUUUGUUACUGCUGAGCCAAGGACGUUGGUCACCUCAAGUUAGAACAGGGAGCUAUUCAACAGUGGAUGACAUUUCACCACCAGCCCCACCAAAGAGCUUCCUCACCACGAUGCAGUUAAGGUCUUAAAUCACCGGCUGAGGGAGGAUACAGCUGCAGAGGAGAAAGCGCACACCUCCCUCUGGCAGGUAGAACACUUAGGGUUCAUUACAGAAAAGGGGCAAAGGGCCCUGUACAGGGAGAGGAAAGAGGGACCCCCAGUUGUGACCAGGCAUUUCUGGAACUGAAAAACCAUCUCAUGAGACCCCCAAGUUAGCUCCUCUGACCUGAGCCAUCCCGUCCACACAUACAUGCAUGAGAAAGGAGGAGCUGCCCUGAGCGUUUACACAAUCGGGGACCUCUGACUCAGGCUGCAGCCUAUUUUUCUAAAACUGGUCCAAAGCACGAAAGGAGGACCCCAUGCUUAAGGGAGGGGGUCCUCAAUGAGGCUGACAAAUUAACCUCUGGACAGUCCCUGACCCCCACUAGCUCCAGCUUCUCAUAAAGAAAGGGGGCACACGGGUCAAACCCUCCAAGUCCAAGUCAGGCUUCUCUAAGAUCCUUCUCUCUUCCUACCAGUUCCCCCAGAACUGAAGUCCUACACUCCCACCUACACCCCAGAAAAAAGGGGAAGGGCUUUGAGGUGGAGCUUUUUUUUUUUGGCUUUUUAGGGCCAUGUCCGGGCCACAUGGAAGUUCCCAGCAUAGGGGUCGAAUCAGAGCUGUGGCCGCCGGCCUAUGCCACAGCCAAACGGGACCUGAGCCCUAUGACCUACCCCGCAGCUCAUGGCAACGCCAGAUCCUUCCUUACCCCACUAAGCAAGGCCACAGAUCGAACCUGCAUCUUCAUGGAUAUUCGUUGGAUUCAUUUCCAUUGCACCACCACGGGAACUCCCCAGAUGGGGCUAUUUUAAAAGCCCAGGAUUCCCAGGGUGGGUGGUUAUGACCAUGGGCAGCUGCCCCUCCCAUUGGCCACUGCACUGCGCCAGCCGGGACGCCCGCCAGAGCACAAUCACAGGCAGGGGGCCCCCAUACUGAUUGCUCAUCACGUCCAUGACGGCCCCGUUUCUCAUGCCUCCUUCAACAGGUGGUUAAAGCUUGCCUGUCCGCCUCUGGAAUAAGCCCACCACUCACCACAUGCACCCCCCACCCCCAGAAAGGUCAAGGGAAUGACCAACACCCAGCAUAGAGCCACAUACCCAGGUCAAGACAGAUACACUGAUUUGGGGGGGGUGGGCAUGUAGAAGUUUCAAGACCAGGGAUCAAACCUCCACCACAGCAGAGAUAGCACCAGAUCCUCAACCCACUGCACCACCAGGGAACUGCCUGGCAAACUGAUUUUACAGUAAUAUCCUGGCCACAAGGAAAUCUUAGCUAUCUGCAGGGUUUUGACCGACAUGUUCUCAGGCUGGAUGGAGGUCAUCCCCAUCGAACCAACACUGCCCUGGAGGUCUGUCUCGAUGGCGCUGCUCAAGGGACAAAUCCUGGGUUUGGGCUAAGUCCAUCCAGAGCGACAAUGGCCUCCCUCUGUUUCAGACUACCGAGGGAGUCCCUAGAGCUCUAAGAAUUAAAUGGGGUUUACGUCCCAUUCGGAAACCACAGUCCUCAAGAAAAGUAGAAUAAGUCAAACCCUCCAGAGAAACUGAGCCAAACUCUGUCAAGAC
rnacentral:lncRNA from 1 species